GCCCAAGAGAAUAGAAAAGGGUUUUCCCAAUAUGAGCAAGGAUUUGAGAUUGAUCCUGAUAGAUAUUGAAACAAUUUUGGAAGAUUACGAGAGAGAUUCAAAAGGAGAUUGAAAGGGUUUAACAAGGAGUCAAGGAGAUGAGAGAGAUCACAAAGGAUUGGAAAGGAGUUGCCAUGAAUUCAAGGUGGAUUCACCGAUGGAGAUUCGAGAUGAGAUCAA
rnacentral:lncRNA from 1 species